rnacentral:snRNA from 1 species
GUGCUCACUUUGGCAGCACAUAGAGUAAAACUGGAAUGAUUCAGAGAAGAUUAGCAUGGCCCCUGUGCAAGGAUGGCACGCAAAUUCAUGAAGCGUUUCAUAUUUUU